CUGGCGUCUUUGGCGUCCGAGUUGUAAUUUGAAGAAGGUAUCUUUGGGCCCGGCUCUUGUCUAUGUUCCUUGGAACAGGACGUCACAGAGGGUGAGAAUCCCGUGCGAUGAGAUGACCCGGGUCUGUGUAAAGUUCCUUCGACGAGUCGAGUUGUUUGGGAAUGCAGCUCUAAGUGGGUGGUAAAUUCCAUCUAAAGCUAAAUAUUGGCGAGAGACCGAUAGCGAACAAGUACAGUGAUGGAAAGAUGAAAAGAACUUUGAAAAGAGAGUGAAAAAGUACGUGAAAUUGUUGAAAGGGAAGGGCUUGAGAUCAGACUUGGUAUUUUGCAUGUUGCUCUCUCGGGGGCGGCCGCUGCGGUUUACCGGGCCAGCAUCGGUUUGGAGCGGCAGGAUAAUGGCGGAGGAAUGUGGCACGGCUUUUGCUGUGUGUUAUAGCCUUUGACGAUACUGCCAGCCUAGACCGAGGACUGCGGUUUUUUACCUAGGAUGUUGGCAUAAUGAUCUUAAGUCGCCCGUCUUGAAACACGGACCAAGGAGUCUAACGUCUAUGCGAGUGUUUGGGUGUAAAACCCGUACGCGUAAUGAAAGUGAACGAAGGUGGGGGCCCAUUAGGGUGCACCAUCGACCGAUCCUGAUGUGUUCGGAUGGAUUUGAGUAAGAGCAUAGCUGUUGGGACCCGAAAGAUGGUGAACUAUGCCUGAAUAGGGUGAAGCCAGAGGAAACUCUGGUGGAGGCU
rnacentral:rRNA from 1 species